CCUACGGGAGGCAGCAGUGAGGAAUAUUGGUCAAUGGCCGUAAGGCUGAACCAGCCAAGUCGCGUGAAGGAAGAAGGAUCUAUGGUUUGUAAACUUCUUUUAUAGGGGAAUAAAGGUAUCCACGUGUGGAUAUUUGCAUGUACCCUAUGAAUAAGCAUCGGCUAACUCCGUGCCAGCAGCCGCGGUAAUACGGAGGAUGCGAGCGUUAUCCGGAUUUAGUGGGUUUAAAGGGUGCGUAGGUUGUUUUUUAAGUCAGCGGUGAAAGUUUGUGGCUCAACCAUAAAAUUGCCGUUGAAACUGGAAGACUUGAGUGUGUUUGAGGUAGGCGGAAUGCGUGGUGUAGCGGUGAAAUGCAUAGAUAUCACGCAGAACUCCGAUUGCGAAGGCAACUUACUAAGCCAUAACUGACACUGAAGCACGAAAGCAUGGGGAUCAAACAGGAUUAGAUACCCCAGUAGUC
rnacentral:rRNA from 1 species